UGAUUGGAGCUUAGGGUGCGAGAGGUUCCGGUUCUUCCGCCGCACUUUUCGUUCUUUGACGAUUUGGAAGCUGACAGGCUUGACUUCACUUGGUAAAUGGUAUAGUCAAAUACCAACUCACAAACACCAGCAAUACUUGCAGUGCAGUUUUUUCCACCACAAGAACUGGAGAUAGCAACUAAUCUUAUCAAUGUGGCAGAAUUAGCCUUUAGAGUUCACCAGCUACACAGAUUCCCAAGAGGCACGCAGAAGUUACUUUGAUUUUUGUAUCUGUCCCAUGGUUUGCAGGCAUCUAUUACAACACUGAGAUAGCGGCACAAAGGCAUGGACUCUAUUAUCAGUCAGAAAAGAGUUGCUCCAAUGGCGUUUCUUCCACAAAAAAGGACAGAAGAUGUGAAUUAGCUUGCCAUGUAUGAGACAAAGCAGUUGCUUUGUUUUCUGCAUCUGUCGACAAGUUUUGAAGCAUCAUCAGUCACAGCUCCGAGGGUGUGGCAUGUGAUCAUAAGGAUAAGUGCGACAUUAUAACUACACAAGUUUACUUUGAAGCAAUACAAUCAACUAUGUUAUUUCAAAGUAAAUGAGGUAGGAGGUUGUGGAUUGUCAAUGAUGCCUAGUACUCAGAGGUAUCAAUCAUCAAAACAAAUGGAUUAAAACACGUUACACACAUUGCCAGACAGAUCACAUAUUGAUCAAAUCACUCAGAUGUUACUCAGACGUAAAUUAGAUCAAAUCACUCAGAUGUUACUUGGAUUUUAACAUACAUUAGAUCAAAUCACAUGUUUGUACUACAAUUCAUUGGGCAUAACUUAAGCUUCUGCUUAAUUACUUUUUUCAAAGCAAUUUACAACAGUAUCAAUGUUGAUGGAGUUUCCACAGGAGAUCAUGAAGCACCAAACUUCACUGUCAUUGAUAGAUUUC